UUAAAAAUGGCUUGCGGGAAUAUCUUACUUUAUCGUAGCAUUAAAUCAGUGCUAUACAAUAUUUUACAGGAUUUUUACAAAGGGAAAACUCAAAAACCUAAUUUUUAUCCCUGUAACAUUUAUGGGCGCCAAAUACUUAGAAAAAAUCACAUUUGGCACCAAAAUAUUGGUUUUGGUAGAAAUAUUUUUUUGUUAUUUGCUAACCUGAUUUGGAUUCUUCUCAAAUUGAGAUUGAAGAAUAUUAGUGGAGGAGGAGAUGAAGCCACGAAGGAGCUGCUGUCAGAGUCGCUGUGAAGGUAACACUGUCGCUUGUCACCACCACCACAACGCCAUCUCUCCCAUCCGCCAUCGCUCUUCACCACCUCCACCACCAUCGCUUCUCAGAUCCGUCUUUGCCAACGCGACCACCACCAUCACGCUCGCAGCAAUCCUCUCUCUUCGAUUCAACCCGUGAAUCGUGAUAAUCAACCUCUCUCACGAUUCAAUCUCUCUGGAUUCAACCCCCCUCCCUUCUCUUUCUCUUUAUCUCUAUCUCUCGGCCAUGAUGAAAUCUCUCGAUUAAUACCUUGAUUUUUUUUUUUGUGUUCUUGUUACAGGAAGCUUAUUAGUAAGGUGCUUUCUGUUCUGUUCAGAUUCAAGGAUAGAAGGAUUACGAAACCCCUAAUCCCUCUCUGCUUUGGCGUUGUCUCUCCGUCUCUCUCUCUCACCAGCUCUCGAUCACUGAAGCAAGUUUUCUACUUUAGCAUCUCUCAGGAAGCCUUGUGAGUUCACGACAAUGGUGGUCACCAAUGCUGAAGGUCCUUACUUGUGGAACUUCACUGCAAAGGCGUUUGCGAGGAUGAUGAAGUAGAUAAUGGCUGAUGAUAAGGAGAAGAGAGUGUGGAACUUUCUUGAAGAGAAUCAAAAGGAUUCAUUGACGAAGUGGAGCAUGUGUGUUUACUCAAAGUGAAACAGAGUUUGAUGCAAAAAACUGAGGAGCAGCAUAAAAAACAGUGGAGGAGGAUCCUUCUGCUUUUGCAUUUGAUGAAGUUUAUGAUGACAUGAAACACAAAGACAUCGUUCCUAAACUGCAAGAUCGUCAACACCUCAAGCUGGAUACGUCUUCUGGAAUGAUAAAAGAAUAUCUUGCUGCUAUAGCACUGGCUGAUGGAGAAUUACGAGAGCCUGAAGCAAGAUUACGCGAGUCUUGAGCAAAGGUUUAAGCUUGUGGAAGAAAUGAAUGCGAUGAUGGAGAGGAACUACUGAUCAGGAUUGAGGAGCUUUUGAUUGUGUUAGAGAAACAAGAGGACCACAAAGGCAGCAAUGGAGUAAACACUCCAUCGUGUGAUCACUUUCUUCUUUGUGCUUUCUUUCCAUUAGAGGAAGACCACAAUGACUUGCAUUCAAUUCAAAGGAUGACUUAGGUUUCUUUGAUUUUGAUUUUGAUAUGUUAAAUCUUGUUGAGGCAUUGGUUUGUAGAUGGAUUUCCUAGACUUGGCAAAUGAAAUAAUGUAUGUUUUGAAAAAUUAAUGAA